AACCUGUGGCGCGCUCCGCGGUUCCGGCGCCUGAAGUUUUAGCUGCGGUGGCGGCGGCAGUCGGGACCGACUGCAAGGCAGGUUGAGAUGAUGGAUCUGAGGCUUGCAGCUCGCAGUCCCAACGAGCCUUAGGGACCAGGGCUACCAAAAGGGUGGGGAGAACGGUGGUGGCAUCUGUCUGUUGCCUGGGAUCCAGGCGCCCGGUUGGGGAAUCCUUACUUCAGGAAGCGCAGCCGCGGCUCUGUGUUUUGAGAGUGCAAAUGUCAUUUGUCAGAGUGAACCGCUGUGGUCCCCGAGUUGGUGUAAGAAAGACACCGAAAGUAAAGAAGAAGAAAACUUCAGUGAAACAAGAAUGGGAUAAUACCGUGACUGAUCUAACCGUUCAUCGGGCAACUCCCGAAGAUCUGGUACGCCGUCAUGAAAUACACAAAUCGAAGAAUAGAGCAUUAGUACACUGGGAACUCCAAGAAAAAGCUUUGAAGAGAAAAUGGAGGAAGCAGAAACCAGAAACUUUAAAUCUUGAGAAAAGAAGAUUGUCUAUCAUGAAGGAGAUUCUUUCUGAUCAAUACCAGAUGCAAGAUGUGUUGGAGAAAUCUGAUCAUCUAAUAGCUGCAGCAAAAGAGCUGUUUCCUCGUAGGCGCACAGGGUUUCCAAAUGUAACAGUGGCUCCUGAUUCCUCUCAGGGUCCCAUUGUGGUAAAUCAAGACCCUAUCACCCAAUCUAUCUUUAAUGAGUCUGUCAUAGAACCUCAGGCUCUUAAUGAUGUAGAUGGUGAAGAAGAAGGAACUGUUAAUAGCCAGUCAGGAGAAAGUGAGAAUGAGAAUGAGUUGGAUAACUCUCUAAACUCUCAGUCUAACACGAAUACAGACAGGUUUCUCCAACAACUAACAGAAGAGAAUUUUGAGUUAAUUAGUAAGUUGUGGACUGACAUUCAGCAGAAAAUAGCAACCCAGUCACAAAUAACUCCUCCAGGAACGCCAUCAUCUGCUCUUUCAUCAGGGGAGCAAAGAGCUGCUCUGAAUGCUACCAAUGCUGUCAAGAGACUCCAAACCAGGCUUCAGCCUGAAGAAUCUACUGAGACUCUAGACUCAAGCUACGUUGUGGGACACGUGCUGAACUCAAGGAAGCAAAAACAGCUGUUAAAUAAAGUGAAAAGGAAACCGAAUUUGCAUGCUCUUUCCAAGCCGAAGAAAAACAUAUCAUCAGGUAGCACAACCUCUGCAGACUUACCAAAUAGGACUAAUUCCAACCUGGAUGUCCUCAAACACAUGAUACAUGAAGUGGAACAUGAAAUGGAAGAAUAUGAGCGGUGGACAGGUCGCGAGGUCAAGGGUCUGCAGAGCAGUCAGGGUCUUACAGGCUUCACUUUGUCGCUGGUGAGCUCCCUCUGUCGCCUGGUUCGGUACCUUAAAGAGAGUGAGAUCCAGCUACGUAAAGAAGUAGAGACAAGGCAACAACUGGAACAAGUAUUAGGUGAUCAUCGAGAGCUCAUUGAUGCUCUGACAGCUGAAAUUCUUCGUCUUAGAGAAGAAAACGCUGCUACACAGGCAAGACUUCAGCAGUACAUGGUCACAACAGAUGAGCAACUGAUAUCACUCACACAUGCUAUUAAGAACUGUCCUGUGAUAAAUAACAGACAAGAAAUUCAGGCAUCAGAAAGCGGAGCCACAGGUAGAAGAGUUAUGGACAGUCCAGAGCGUCCAGUUGUAAAUGCCAAUGUCUCAGUGCCAUUGAUGUUCAGAGAGGAAGUGGCUGAAUUCCCACAGGAAGAGUUGCCCGUUAAACUGUCUCAGGUGCCAGACCCUCCAGAUAACAUGAAUCUGGCCAAGAAUUUUCCAGCACAUAUUUUUGAGCCAGCUGUGUUGUUAACACCACCCAGGCAGAAGAGCAACUUAAAAUUCUCUCCUCUUCAGGACGUAUUGAGAAGGACUGUUCAAACUCGUCCUGCUCCACGACUUCCUCCAACUGUGGAAAUAAUUGAGAAGGAACAAAAUUGGGAAGAGAAGACCUUACCUAUUGAUACAGACAUUCAGAAUUCAAGUGAAGAGAAUCGUCUCUUCACUCAGAGAUGGAGAGUCUCUCACAUGGGAGAAGAUUUGGAGAACAAAACUCAGGCUCCUUUUGUUAACCUCUCACAGCCCCUCUGCAAUUCCCAUUCCAACACUCAACAGUCAAGAAGCCCCACAUUCUCAGAAGAGCUCCCAGUACUGGGAGAUGGGCAGCAGCUGAGAACAAAUGAGUCAUUAAUACAAAGAAAGGACAUAAUGACACGAAUUGCUGAUUUGACAUUGCAGAAUUCAGCUAUCAAGGCACAUAUGAAUAAUAUUAUUGAGCCCAGAGGAGAGCAAGGGGAUGGACUCCGGGAGUUGAACAAACAAGAAAGUGCAAGUGACAUGACUUCUACUUUUCCAGUAGCACAGUCUCUAACACCAGGUAGUAUGGAGGAACGGAUUGCAGAAUUGAAUCGACAAAGUAUGGAGGCUCGUGGAAAACUACUGCAGUUGAUAGAGCAGCAGAAACUUGUUGGUUUGAAUCUUUCUCCACCAAUGUCACCUGUUCAGUUACCUCUCAGAGCAUGGACUGAAGGAGCAAAGAGGACAAUUGAGGUAUCUAUUCCAGGAGCAGAAGCCCCAGAAAGCUCAAAAUGUAGUACUGUCUCUCCCGUCAGCGGGAUAAAUACAAGAAGAUCUUCCGGGGCUACUGGUAAUUCUUGUUCUCCACUAAAUGCCACCUCAGGAAGUGGGAGAUUCACACCUCUUAAUCCAAGAGCAAAGAUUGAGAAACAGAAUGAAGAAGGCUGGUUUGCUCUUUCUACCCAUGUAUCAUAAGUGAAGUCAAGUCUCACUGAUCAUUGCUGUUCAUCACUUUUUCCAUCAAGUGAAAUAUACAGCCUUAAAAACAAUAGGCCUGGGAGUGUUUGUUUAUAUUUGCUUAAGCAGUGUCAUGAGGCGGAGAAGGCCCGACCAAAGGGCGGAUAGGUACCGGGUUCCCGGAGAGCUGGACGCCGGCCGCGCAUGCGCCCCACGGCCCGCCCUGGUUCCGCCUCCCUGGAAGAGGGGUGGCGUUGUCUCGGUAACCGGAGUAAACGGAGGCCUCCGGCAGACGCUGUGAAGAGAGGAGCCGCGGCGGUCAGUACCUUCGAGGAAAUGAAGGAACCAGAUGAUCAGGAUACUGAUGGGGAGAAAUCAGUUACAUCAAAGAGUGAUGGGAAGAAGUCUCUGAGGUCUUCUAAAUCAGAAUCAAGAUCUCCUGUUCAAGAAGAUAACACAUUUUUAGAAGAUGACACAGAUGAAACAUUUACCAAAGGGGAAGGAUCAUAUUUAGAAGAAGACUCAGAUGAGGAACGUUUGGAAGGAAGUUUGAGUUCAUUUCAGUAUGGUGAUUUGCAAAGCACUACAGUACCUCAGCAAACCCCUGCUCCAGCUGUGGAAGAAGCAGAGGAGGAAGUUAAGAAGAAAAUAUCAGAGAGCUUCUUCUAUGAUUAUAUGGAGCUUGCUUCGAUGCCUUUUGUGACUCUGGAUUCAAACAUACCACUGGAUCUUCUCACACUUGUACAUUCUUUUGGUUAUGACUGUAGAAAGCGAGCCAACCUACAACUUCUGGACGACAGUAUCGCCAUAUACAUAGCUGGGAACCAACUGAUCUUUCUGAAUUUGAAAACCAAGGAACAGAUCUACCUGCGAAGUAGCAGUGGUGAAGGAAUUGGCGUCAUUGGGGUUCAUCCACAUAAAACUUAUUUCACAGUAGCUGAAAAAGGGAGUUUUCCAGAUAUUAUCAUCUAUGAAUAUCCUUCUCUGAGACCAUACAGAGUCCUUCGAGGUUCUGGGAAAUGGCUUUUACGUUCACCGGUCUCAAGCUGCAGGGAUCACUAGGUCGAUUUGGCAAAACAAUCACUACUGAUAUAGAAGGCUACAUGGAGCUCCCAGAUGGGAAGGGUCAGAAUGGGGCAACAUGCUGCUUUGGGAAGGUGGUCUGAUCAAAGUGGAGCUCUGUCGAGGGACAAGCAAGUCAUGUCACAAUGGUCCCAUUAACCAGAUAAUGCUGUAUGAGGGUGAAGUUAUCACUGUUGGGUCAGAUGGAUAUGUUAGGAUAUGGGAUUUUGAGACAAUAGACACUGCUGAUGUAAUAGAUGAGACUGGAUUGUUGGAGAUUGAGCCUAUUAAUGAACUUCAAGUAGACAAGAAUGUGAAUCUCUUCUCUAUGAUAAAAAUGAAUGAAACUGGAAAUAACUUUUGGUUGGCUCAGGAUGCCAAUGGAGCCAUAUGGAAGCUUGACCUUAGUUUUUCAAAUAUUACCCAGGACCCAGAAUGCCUCUUCUCCUUCCAUUCUGGAGCUAUUGAAGCCGUGGCUGUUUCUCCUCUCACUUAUCUCAUGGCCACAACUGCCUUGGACUGCUCUGUUCGAAUCUAUGAUUUUGCUAGCAAAACUCCUUUGGCCCAGAUGAAAUUCAAACAAGGAGGUACUGCCCUUGUUUGGGUACCCCGAAUGGUAAACUUCACUGGAGCACAAAUUAUUGUAGGAUUUGAAGAUGGAGUUGUUCGAAUUCUUGAACUUUAUGAUCCAAAAGGGCUCACGAUUUUUGCGGGACGGAAGAAAAUUUUGGAUGCUGAUAUUCAGUUGAAACAGGUUUUCAAACCCCAUACUGCUUGUGUCACUGCUUUAGCUUAUGAACGUGAUGGGGAAAUUCUAGCCACAGGGAGUAAAGAUCAAACUGUUUUCUUCUUUGAAGUGGAAAGGGAUUAUAAGCCGAUUGGUUAUAUUAAUACUCCUGGACCUGUGUGUCAGUUAAUGUGGUCUCCCAUGUCUCAUCCUGAAAGUACUUUACUAAUUAUCUGUGAAAAUGGCUAUAUUCUUGAAGCUCCACUUCCAACCAUAAAGCAAGAAGAGGAUGAUCAUGAUGUAGUCUCCUAUGAAAUCAAAGACAUGUGCAUAAAAUGUUUCCAUUUUUCAAGUGUCAAAUCUAAGAUUCUGAGAUUAAUAGAAAUUGAAAAGAGGGAGAGACAAAGGGAGUUGAAGGAGAAAAUAAGGGAAGAAAGGAGGAACAAGCUAGCAGCAGAGAUGGGAGAAGAUGGAGAAAAAGAAUUUCAGGAGGAGGAAGAGGAGAAAGAGGAGGAGGAGGAGGAAGAAGAGCCAUUACCUGAAAUAUUUAUUCCGUCAACCCCCUCUCCCAUCCUCUGUGGAUUUUACUCAGAGCCAGGGAAGUUCUGGGUUUCUUUGCAUUAACAAAGUUAUGAUGUUUUGUGGAAUGAAAAAUGGAGCAAUUCGAGUCUAUGUCCUAAAUCAAAAUGAUCCUUCAUUGACCAGUUUGGUGGACUACUGGCACUUCAAUAUGCAUGACAAUAAUUAUGGAUGUAUUAAAAGUAUUGCUAAUAGCUUUGAUGAUCGUUUCUUGGUGACUGCUGGAGCAGAUGGCAAUAUCUUUGUUUUCAACAUUUUUUCUGAAUUUAUGCUAAGGAAAGACAUGAAGGCCAAAGUUCCAUCUCCCAGGUUUGGAAUUGAAACAGAGCCAAUUCCAGAAGACAUUGAAGAUCCCAAAGCCUACAGUAUCGAGAAUGCUAGGAGAAAAAGAGAACAUGACAAGUUAAUGAAAGAAGUGGGAGAAAUAAAGGCACGGAAGAGAGAGCAAAUCAAAGCUUUGAGGAGUGAAUUUUGUAAUCUAUUAGAAAUGAAUGAAAAAUUACCAAAGCAUAUGCAGUUUAAACGAACAAUUCCCAAAUCCGUGCUGAGAUGCACAGAAAAACAGCUUUCAAAAUUCAACAAGUGGAAAAGGAAUUAGCUUGGGAAAAAGAGAAACAUGAACUCGGCCUAAUGAAGCUAAAGAAUCGAUUUCGAGAUCCACUGGAAAGUGAUACUAUUGUGGUUCAUGCCAUACUGAGUGACCACAAGAUAUCCUCUUACAGGCUGGUGCAGCCCUCUAAGUACUCCAAAUUCAAACGAGCUAGUCAAUCAGAGAGAAAACCAAGCAAAUUGGACAGGUUUGAAAAAGAGGGACCUGGAAGAAAGGACAGCCAGAGAGAUGCAGGUGGGAGUGUUACCAUACAAGAAGAAUCAAUAAUAGAAAAAGGGAAGAAAUUUCGGCCUAAAACCCUAAGUGAAAUCAUCGUGGAAAAUCAAAUUGAGAAAACGAGAAAACUUAUAUUAAAAGCUGAAAGGGCACAACUAAAGAUUCAACAGCGAAAAAAAGAAUGGGAGGAACUGUCCAUGGAAAUAAAAGGCACAUGAACAAGUGCAUUCUCUCUCUUAGAGACCUUAAAGUGGCUGUUGUUGAGGAAAUACAGUGCCUGGUACAAGAACUGAAGAACAUUCAGUCGACUCUUCACAUAUCCAAGCACAUACCCAUUCCCAAAAUUCCUCAGAUACACCCAGAAGAAGUUCCAGAAAAGAGAUUUCAGUAUGAUGAAGAAACUCUCCUAAAUUUUAAGCAACAGCAAAUGAAAAGUAAAGAUGAAAAGUCCCCCGGAGUGGAACAGACAGGGUCUGGAGGCCCAGUUGGAGGAUUCCUCAAACUCUCUUCUAGAAAGGAUGGGGAUUUGACAACCCGUGAUUCAAUAUCUAGAUCAUCAAAGGCAUCAACAUUCAGCCUAGAUAUACCAAAGUGUUUGGAAUUUGAAAAAGCAGAGCCAACGGAUGUGGAGCUGGAAAUUAUGAAGAGAGACGAGAUUAAACACGUGUACAUGCAACAGUAUUUGGUCAACAGGAUCAAAGAACUGGUUGUCACUUUCGAUGCAGAACUCCGUCUCCUUAGACAUCAGAAACUAAAACUAGAUACUCAGAUGAAAUUAUCUGACCUGCACCAUGUCACCUUAUUUCAAGAAAUACUUCUCCUGAAGAAUUUUGAAAAACAGGAGAACAUACUUCAAGAACGUGUUAAUUCCUUAGACAAAGAGGAACAGUACAUGCAAUGGAAAAUAAAUGAAACUCUUAAAGAGAUGGAAGAGAAAAAGAAUGAAAUCACCAAACUCCAGGAGCAAGAAAAGGCACUCUAUGCUGGUUUUCAAGCAGCCAUUGGAGAAAACAAUAAAUUUGCAAACUUCCUCAUGAAGGUCCUAAAGAAGAAGAUUAAACGGGUAAAGAAAAAAGAAGUUGAAGGAGAUGCUGAUGAAGAUGAGGAGAGUGAGGAAUCAAGUGAAGAAGAAUCUAGCUUGGAGAGUGAUGAAGAUGAGUCUGAAUCAGAAGAUGAGGUUUUUGAUGAUUCUAUUUGCCCAACAAAUUGUGAUGUGGCUCUUUUUGAGCUGGCCCUUCACCUUCGAGAGAAAAGGCUGGACAUUGAGGAGGCUUUAGUUGAAGAAAAGAAAAUUGUUGAUAACCUCAAAAAGGAAUAUGAUACAUUGUCAAAAAAAGUGAAAAUUGUGGCAACUAAUCUGAAUGCAGCAGAGGAGGCCCUGGAGGCUUAUCAGCGAGAGAAGCAGCAGCGGCUGAAUGAACUGCUAGUUGUGAUUCCGCUCAAGCUCCACCAGAUAGAGUAUGUGGUAUUUGGAGAAAUACCUAGCGAUCUUUCUGGUACUUUGGUCUUCUCUAACCAUGCCUUGAGACGGCUGCAAGAACGAAUCCAUGAGCUCCAGGAGGAAAAUUCCAAGCAGCAAAAACUUAACAAAGAAUGGAGAGAGAGACGUAAACAGCUCAUCCGAGAAAAGAGAGAAAUGACAAAAACCAUACACAAAAUGGAGGAAACAGUCCGGCAGCUCAUGAUCAGCAAGUUUGGCCGUGUGGUAAAUCUAGAAGCCCUUCAAACGCUUUCUGUUAAUACAACACUUGAAGAACUGAAGAUCAGAAAACUUCGAAAGGAGCUAGCAAAUGCGAAAGAGAUGAAGAUGUGGGAGGAAAAGAUUGCUCAAAUGCGAUGGGAACUGAUGAUGAAGACAAAAGAACACACCAGAAAGCUUUAUCAGAUGAAUGAUUUGUGUAUUGAAAAGAAGAAACUUGAUUCUCGGUUGAAUACACUACAGAAUCAGCAGAACCCUGGAAAUGGUCUAAGCUAAGUGUUCCAACAGUUUGGUCCUCUGAAGAAGAGCAUCAGCAUCACCUGGGAACUUGUUUAAAAUGGCAAUGCCUUCCAGGGCCCUCGGGAAGCAGAUGUUGUGGCAAGAGAGGAGGUCACUGAAUUGAUCCAACUCCAGGCGGAAAGGAUUUCGGCCUUAAAGGAGGAGAUUGCUCUUUUGCGUAGGAAAGGCAGUCUUAUCCUCCCACCCAUUCAGUCUCCACGAGAGAAAGAGAUACAGCCCGCAGACCUUUGAGUUUGCUAUUUUCUCAAACCCAUACAAGAUUUCUGACAUAACUCACUGGAAGUUCUGUCUCCUCAUCACCUCCAACAAUCUUAUUACUUUAAACUGAACUCGCCUGAAAGUGUAAAACCAGAUCCAGUCACGUUAAGUCACUUUAAGAAUCUCUCUACAAUUUGGUUAUCUUAGAACUGACUGCAGCACCCAACCUCUGUUAUGAAACUGAAUCAUUUUAGAUGUUUCGAACCUACUAGAUUGAAUAUGAAGUCUCGGAAGGCUGUGUUUCAUGAUUGCAGCAAAUCACCUGUAAUAUAUUUUGUUUUAGGAAAAUUUGAUUUGGGGGUAUCCUGAAUUUUUAGCCCUUGGCAAGAAAAACUAUCAUUCAGCAAUUCAUGAGAAAACUUUGUUUUCUUGAUCCUUAGAAAAUAAACUUAGAUGUUAUUAAGUGUUCUCUGAGAGGAUGCAGGAGAAAAGGACAUUUUGUCAGCUAUAUCUUAGAAUAGAAAUGCAAAUUUCAGUUUUGGCAUUGUUGACUUCAUAAAGCAGUGUUUUGAGGGCUCAGGAUUCAGGAAAUACAAACAGACAUGGCAGAGCAGUUUGCUUUGGGUUGGCAGAAAGCAGGAAAAUAACCAGCCUUCUUGGAUUGCCCACAGUUUUUGUAGACUCCUCAGUUCUGAGUGGAGCAGAGGGGCAUGCUUAAUAAAACAGUCAAUAAAGAGGCUUUUCUUUAAAGAUUUCUGCAACUCCGUCAGAAUUCUAAGUUUUCCCCAUAGUUUCUCAUGUCCCCUGCCAUUUUCUUUCAGGUUUUACUUGGGCCAUUUGCUGGUUUUGAUAUAGAUGAGGAGAUAAUGAAAUAGAUUUACUAGAGAUCAUCUUUAACAAUCACCUUUGAUUAUGCAUAACAUUUUAAACUAAUUGAAGAGUAUCCUUUUGGUUUGGGGGUAAGUGCUCAUUGAAGUUCAUGGCUAUAACCAUUGCAGGAUAAUCUCACUGACAUUUGGAAUCCUGUUAGUAACAGAGCAUAGCUCUUUAGAUUAAGAGCUCUGUAUUAACGAGCUACUCAUUGAGGCUGUUCCAGGAUAAGCUGGUCACUGAGAAGGGCGGGUGAAGAAAGGAACAUUGCAUAAAUGUAGAAGGGAACUCAGCAAUGCCAAGUCUUCCUCACCUGUGAUUAGCCUGCUAAUGUGCCCCCCAAAAUUACAGACAGGUCUUGCUUUCUUUGUACAUCAGCAUAUUCUUAGAGGUGGCCACUUGGCCUAUUGUCUUCCUAAGAUUCCUUCAUAUUCCUAUUUAAGAGGUCAGAAUACCUUAUUGUUUGCACUUGUCACCAUUAAUUUCUGAUGUAGUCACUUCUCUACUGGAGAGCACCCACUUUUUUUUUUAAAUCACUUUCUGUGUUGUAUAUCCUAAGCCAUGUGUGCCUUUCAAGUAUUUUUAAAAAUAUGCUAGUCAUAGCCCUGAGUGUCUUAUUUAUUGCGGUAAAAAAUUACCCCCAAACUUAGCUUGAAACAACAAACUUGUGAUCUCACCCAGGAGUGAGAGGGUUUCUGAGGUCCAGGAAUCUGGGGACAGCUUGGCCGGGUGUUCUGGCUCAGGGUCUUUCGUGGAGUUGCAGUCACACUAGGAGCUGGGGCUGCAGCCAUCUGAAGCUUGGCUGGAGCUGGAGGGGCUAUUAGCAAAUUCACUCCCUUGGCCAUUAGGCAGGGCUUCAGUUCCUCGCCAUGUGGGCCUCUCCAUAGGGCCGCUUGGGAUAUGACUUCUCCCAGAGCAAGUGAUCCAAGAGUGAGGGAGACAGCAAGAGAGAAUGAUGUAUACAAGAGCCACAGUCUUUUACAGCCCAAGCUCAGAAGUGACAUAGCGUCACUAUUGUCAUAUGGGUCACAGGCUGACCCUGUGUGAUGUGGGAGGGGACUGAACAGGGUGUGAAUGCCAGGUGGGGGUCACCGGGGCCUUCGUGGGAGCUGGCAGCCACAAGAAGCAGCUGCCUGGAGAGAGUGGCUGGUCUCUGAGAAAGGUCUUGAGGCGAUACCAUCCCCUUGGUAAUUGUAGAGAAUCAGGAGAAGUUACGUUAUCUUCCUGGGCCUCAUUUUAUUAUCUGACAAAUGAAGGAUUGGUAGAAUGGGUUCCUUCCCAUUCUGAGAUUCUGAUUCUGAUUGCAGCAAGAAUGGACCUACAGUCUACAGAAGAGCCACAUCAGGACUUGCUGUGCAUUUCAACUGAGAGGAAAGCUAAUCGGGAUAAUUAUUCCCAAACUGAGCUGGACUAAAUCACUAGUUAAUUCUACAAUAUUCAGGGCUUCAUUCCGCAUGUUUGGGAAUUGACGACAGUUAACACUGAAUUACUUUAUUUUGAAUUGGACAAAAUAUGUUGAUAGCUUUAGGUUCAUUUCAACUUGAUUCCAGGCUUAGUCUUAAAUCUGUAGUUAAGUUAGAGCAUCUGAGUCUUUGGGAAGUUAAGCUUCAAACACAAGUAGACCAGCAGGGUGUGGCAUGGGCAGGGUGGCUGGGAAGCUAUCCUGCUCCUGGCACACUUCCCUGCCUUCUGCUGUGCUCCCAGAGGAGCAGCCUCACCUCUGAGGGUAAGGCCAAAAAUCAGCCUACACUGAGUUACUUGUGGGUCAAUUGUUCAUAUAACUUGGCUCUUCUGAACUGUCAUCCAUAGUAUCACCGAUGAUCAAUCUCAGCAUUGGAAGAAAAAGAAACCACAGAGUCCAGCCCCUCUGUCACAACUUCAGAGUAAAGGAGUUGCUCAUGCCUGCCAGCCAGCCUGUCCCACCACAGCGGGCUCCCCAGCUUAGGGAGGUCUGUGAGCCAUGUGCUAAAUUUCUCUUUAGAGCUAAAUCCAUUGAGUGCUAUGAUUCCAGUGCUGUGCAGAAAGCAGAUGUUUCACCUAUCACUUCAGAAAAGUUCACCAGACUUCAUUUUGACAGCUACCUUAGAUCAUCAAGGAGAAAAAGGAAAAAAUGUAAAAACCAGUGGGGCUAGAAGGUGAGUUACAGCUCAGAUUGGGGGGCCUCUGGAUAGCAAAGCAAUGACUGAGAGCGUCAGCCCUACCCACCCCAGAAGUGAGCUCUGGGCCGUGAUGCCAGGUUGUCUGAAAUCACAGUAUCUUAUUUUUUCUCUUCUCUUCCCUGCUCUGCUUCUCAUUUCCUAACAUUUACCUGUUCCUUACAGUCCUUCCUUUUAAAUAAUAUUUUUAAAAUACUGCUUUCCUGAAAACCAUGCUGCACUUCCACAUGAAGUUCUCUCUGACGUUGAGCUUGAUGGAAAAAGGAUGCAGAAGUCAGGAAUAGCAGGUGCUAUACUUAUUUUGGCCAGCAGAGGAUGCACUUGCCCUAAACAGUCAGAGUGACUCUUCCCUAGGACCCUGUUUAUCAAAUUCUUCAUGUUUAAAAGCCAGGGUCUGGCCCCCCACUUAACGAGAUUGUCUCAAGUGGCAUUUCAUCUGUAACUCAAUUUUACAGAAAUCUAGAAAAUACAGGCUCCCCCCACCCUCUCCAGCCCCAAAACACAAAGCGUAGUAAGGCUUUCAUUGCAAGCAUCAGUCUCCAUCUAAUUCCACUUCCACAUAUAAAGAUUUUAAAAUUUCAAUUAAAAAAGAAUCUAUGGUUGAUCCUUUGGUUGGACAACAGUAAGUAAAUGUUGAUUUUAAACUAGUGAGUCAACUACUCUGGCAAUGUUGGUGUAUCUUUGGAAAGAAGGGAAGUGAAUUUAUUAUGCACCAUAUGUCCAUGUGUGGCACAGCACUUAGCUAAACAGUAUUUUGGAGAAAAUAUUUGGUCUUCAACACACACCUAUAUAAAAAAGAUUAGUUCUAUUUCUUCAAUAUGACCUAAACUUCAUCUCAAGUCCAGUUGGUAAGAGAACUAUGAACCUGUUUUUCCUGGUCUGUUGUACAACGGUUCCCUUGUGGACUAAACGGUAAUGUGUUCUGCAUGAAUCCAAGCACAACUGACAUUCACUGUUUUAAAAAACAAAAAAGAGAAACAUUUACUACCUUUUUCAGAUCUCAUUUCUGAUGGACCUGAAAAUAUUGUAAGUGGGUAUUUUCUUCAAAUACUCAGAGACUGAAUUCUAACAUGUAAAGAAAAUGCUGACUCACACAUGACUCAGUUUGAAGGUUACAGGGAAGACUAAACAUUUAUUUAGAAGUUACAGUGUUUGUUUUUACAGAGAUAUGUUGCCACGGAUUAUUGAUUCUGGAAGGUUUUUUAAUGCUCAUAGUGCUGUACACAUCUUGGUCUGUUCUCAUGGGCAUCUUAGGAAAAUGUUUCCCGUAGCACCGGAUCCAGCCAUCUGUGUGGGUGUCUCCAGGCUGUGAUACCGUGCCCCUUGCUGUUCCCUCAUGCUCGUGAUGAACCAUGUGCCUGGGAUCCUUCCUCUUGCCAGCUUAUCUGUGGGCCUCCUGCAGCCUCGCCUGCCACUGCAGAGGCCCCAGGUUAGGAGUCUGUCCCGCGCCAGCCUGUGCGGUGCUUUCCUGGGUGACUCCUGUUAGGUGGCAGCUUCUUUAUUUUCCCUCUCCAACCUCAACGGGUAGGACUCCUUAUGUCUCUCCAGAAUUAUAAAACAUAUACAUUUAUUUACAAGUGCAUAAAUAUAUAAAUAUGGCUAUAAUAGAAAAAUAAAUACCAAUUUUCUCUGUC
rnacentral:lncRNA from 1 species